rnacentral:rRNA from 1 species
CACGUAGGGGCCAAGCGUUGUCCGGAUUUAUUGGGCGUAAAGAGCUCGUAGGCGGUUCGACAAGUCGGGUGUGAAAACUCCGGGCUCAACCCGGAGACGCCACCCGAUACUGUCGUGACUGGAGUCCGGUAGGGGAGUGGGGAAUUCCUGGUGUAGCGGUGAAAUGCGCAGAUAUCAGGAGGAACACCGGUGGCGAAGGCGACACUCUGGGCCGGUACUGACGCUGAGGAGCGAAAGCGUGGGUAGCAAACAGG